rnacentral:lncRNA from 1 species
GGAAGCUUAGAAUUGCAGACUUGCCGCUUGAUGUAUCUGGUAUGGCAACUUAAAAGCCAUUACAACUUGCAUCUCAUUCGAAAAGUUUUAACGGUACUUUGCUCGUUGACCUGAAUUAAGAUGGAAAAAAUAUUUAGAGACCUUUAUUUUAGUUUCAUGUUAUGGUUAGAUUUCACUGAUUUGUGGAUUAUAAAAUGCAUGUGUAGUAUGCUUUUGCUUUUACUGAAAGAGUUGUGUGGAAAACUUGGACUCGAUUCUUUUAGGGUAUUUUUGUAAAUUGGAAAACUUGAGGGAUAACAAGGAAAGAAAAUGAUUUUUUUAAAAGCUUUCUUAACCAUCAAUUACACUAGAAUUUAACAUUGUUCUUGAUAUUAAUUUUUUAUAUUUUAAAAUAGGGAUAAUUAGACUUGUGUUCAUUAAUACAAUUUUUCUUUUUAAAUAUAUAUUUAUUAUUUGCCUUUUCCUCCACCUUUUCCAAGUUCUGAAAUUACGCUUAGUGAUGUGAUACUCAUUUAGAAACAAAAGGGUGGACUUGUAGACUGUAAAUUGAUAUGAUGAUGGAAAUUGUAGCAUGGUAUUUUGGAUUUUUGUGGUGGCUGUGGAUCAAUGGGGUAAGGGCAUUAAUGGAUAGGGUGCCUAGUAUUUAGGGAAGCUAAUAAUCAUGAAUAUUCUUGGUGUGUGGUUGCUGUGGAUCCAUGGGGUAAGGGCAUUAAUGCCAGAUAGGAUGCCUUAGUAUUUAGGGAUGCUAAUAAUCUUGAACAUUCUUGUUGUUAGUAAGCGUUUGUCUAACUAGAUCUUUGAUUAACAAACAUUAUUAACUUGGUGUGACUUUCUAGGAAGUUUUGGUAAUUCAGUGCACAACUGCUUGAUGACGAGUACAUUUUUUUCAUGCAGGAACUACCUUUUGUUGGUUACUUGUGUAUAUGUAGCAUGUUCCUAAGUGUGAGAAGUUGGUGGUAGUUUUUUCUGUAGACCUGCUCUUAUAUAGACGGUGGACCAAGGAAUGUUGGGGGAUUAAAUGCUUCAUCCAGCUAAUGUUUAGUUUACCUAAUAUUUGUACCUUGAUACAAUUAAGACUUGCUCUCGUAAAUAGCUAAAAUUUGCUGUAUAGUUCUGUGC